rnacentral:rRNA from 1 species
UACGAAGGGUGCAAGCGUUACUCGGAAUUACUGGGCGUAAAGCGUGCGUAGGUGGUCGUUUAAGUCCGUUGUGAAAGCCCUGGGCUCAACCUGGGAACUGCAGUGGAUACUGGGCGACUAGAAUGUGGUAGAGGGUAGCGGAAUUCCUGGUGUAACAGUGAAAUGCGUAGAGAUCAGGAGGAACAUCCAUGGCGAAGGCAGCUACCUGGACCAACAUUGACACUGAGGCACGAAAGCGUGGGGGGAGCAAACAGGAUUAGAUACCCUGGUAGUCCACGCCCUAAAUGAUGCGAACUGGAUGUUGGGUGCAAUUUGGCACGCAGUAUCGAAGCUAACGCGUUAAGUUCGCCGCCUGGGGAGUACGGUCGCAAGACUGAAACU